UACUACAGAUGGUUAGUAUUUUGGCCACAGAUUUUUAGUGACAGAAUAACGGGGGGACGUGAUUCCUAACCACAAAAUUUUUAGUAUGGUGGAUUAUUUGCUGAAGUAUACCUGGUUUCUUCGGCCACCUGUGUCACCAUUUCCAACAGGCAUGUGUGGCUACCAGACCCCCCUAAAAAUCAAAAAGAAAAAUUAUAUUUACGACAAGUAAUUAAAGUUAUUUACAGUCUGCUCCGUUUAACUAAACAUACACUUAAAUAAUCUUCUCGAAACUUAAAAAUAACAUUUUUAGCAUUUAAAAGCACGCAAAGGCUAACCGCUAAGUCGACUAAAUUAACAUUAAAAGCGAUGGAUUUAGCUUUAAUACCUACGCAAAUAUUUACCAUUGUUGUGUGCGCUUCCCAAGUUUAAUAUCAAACGGUUAAAAAUAAUAUUUACAAAAUAAUGGCUGCAACCACUUGCCAGACACUUGCUGGUAGACUAUCAUAACACUUUCGAGCACUGCAGGAGAUUUACGAUUCGAUUACGGCAGUAAAUUUGAAUGAAUGUCACCUAUUUAAUCACGACGUUUAUCACAUUUAUAGAAGACCUCGCUGCCUUGGAACUUCAUGUCGGUUUGGUUAUGUUAUUGUGCAGGUGUUGAUAAAUUUGUGUUAAUUUGGUACUGACAGGUUAUCAGGUGGGAGGUUAUCGAUAAGAAAUUGAUUAAAUUAUUAUAAAAUCA